GACGAACGUUGGCGGCGUGCUUAAUACAUGCAAGUCAACUGAAGCAGUGGUAGCAAUAUCGCUGUGGAGGUGGCGCACGGGGGAGUAACACGUAGGUAAUCUGCCUUCAGGUCUGGCAUAACUCCGGGAAACCGGGGCUAAUAGCAGAUGAUGCAGCGGCUCGACAUCGAGACAGUUGUUAAAGCUAUGGCGCCUGAAGAUGAGCCUGCGUCUGAUUAGCUAGUUGGCGGGGUAACGGCCCACCAAGGCAACGAUCAGUAGCUGGUCUGAGAGGAGGAUCAGCCACACUGGAACUGAGACACGGUCCAGACUCCUACGGGAGGCAGACGUAAGGAAGAUUGCUCAAUGGGAGAAAUCCUGAAGCAGCACCGCCGCGUGAGGGACGAAGGGCUCUUGCUUGUAAACCUCUGUAGUGAGAGAAAAAAAUCCCACUCUUUGGGACAUGAUGGUAUCUCAAAAGUAAGCCCCGGCUAACUACGUG
rnacentral:rRNA from 1 species